AGAGAGAGAGAGAGAGAGAGAGAGGUAUAUAAAGGACCGUGACUGGCAAGCACACAGAAGAACAGAAACACCGACAAACACCACAAUGAGCGCCCUGCCACCGCCUCCAACGUCACCAAAACGCUUCGACUCUGUUUUGGGGCGCCCUUCCGUUGGCAUAGUGGGCGUCACUGUCCUGCCCUUCUCUGAGCUGGACGCAGAGCCGCUGGGAGUGCUGCAGUUUGUCCUCGGCCUUAUAGUUUACCUCGACGUCCUCUUGGGGUUACAAGUUUACACGCCGAGGGCGUCUGACGGCAUGGCACCACUAACAGAGGAGGAGGAGGAGGCGUGGUGGCAACAAUGGGAGGAGGAGAUGGAGAGAGAAGAGGAGGAGGAGAGGAAACGAAAACUGGAAGAGGAGGAAGACCAAAAACAAAAAGAGGAACAAGAAG
rnacentral:misc_RNA from 1 species